AUUAUCAAAACUCAUCUGAUUCUUUUUCAGGAUGCAGCCGUGGGUUCCACUCCCCUGAGAACAUCAUGAGGCACUUCGCUGCUUGUCUGAAGGGCUGUAUUCAUGACCCUCUGCAGGAUCCCUCCUUGGUCAUGAUGCAGCUCCAACAGAAGCCAUCUACACCUAGUUCUCUUCAGGAGCAAUGAGAACUUGCAAAAGUGAAUGGCACCCUUGGGCCUGACCAAUUCCUCGUUUGCUUUGGGUCUAUGAGCUCCUGGGACUUCCUCCCAGCUGUGAAGGGAGUCGUUAUCCUGGAAAAGGACACGAUAGAUCAGGGAGGGUAUUGCCAGCAAGAUGGCUCUCCCAGAAACACAAGUCUCUCGUUUCCUUGGGCUUUUCUUCUCUCCUCUUUCACAACUUCCCUUGCUGCCCCGUCCAGCUUCCAGAAAAACAAAGCUUGUCAUCAUAUUGCAGAUUGGCAUCUCCUAAGUCUCCCUCUCCUGUCGCAGGGUGCUUUCUCUCUUCUUCUAGCUACUCAUUAUCCUUUGAAAGCCUCCUCAUCUAUCACAUCUUCAAGGAAGUUUUUUUCUGAAAUUCCCAGAGUUUGGAUUUGGUCUCACCCUGAGAGUUCCCUUCUCUACCAUAACACUUAGCCCACACCCUUGAAACUGGCUGGCACUCAGUUGAGUUCCCUGAGCCUGCAGUAUCUUGACGAGAGGAACUUCAUCACUUAUCUUUGUACUUCAGUGCCCAGUGCUCAGUAAAUACACAGUAGAUGUUUGUUGAAUGAAUAAAUGACAAUUUAUUGAUUUUUUUGUUGUUGUUAUCAAACUAUUCCAGACCUUAGUGAUCUCAGAUCUUCAUCAUAUUCUGCACAAACUGAUUGGAUAUUGAUCCUUGGCCAUUGCUUCAAGUUUAAAAAGAAAAACACCUUUUGAAAAUAUGAUAUGCAGCUGUAAAGCAGCAAAACAGGUCCUAGAAGUCAUACAUAAAUAGCAGUCUCAUUAUUUUAUAACCAUCCUUCACAAGUGAAAAUUUUGAAAUAACUGAGUUGCAGUCAGAUUUGAACACAUGCUUCAAACAACAUAACUUGCUUGUGAAUAUAAAACUAAUAGUUUCAACUGAAAAUGUUGGAAAGAAACAGACUGGCCUGUUGAAGGCUUGAAAAUAAACAUUUGAUUUCAAUUCUGUUAAAAUUUUACCUGGUUUGAUCCUCUAUCUUAACCUUCAAGUUCUAUUUGUUAGUGCACUGUAUCCCUGUGUCCUCUGAGAAGCUAACUCGACGUAAGUAAGGUUCUAUACAGUUUAUUUAAUUCCACAAGAUUCUAUUGAAUGAUUUCUCUUCUAACUGUGAUAGUAUUAUGAUCAGGGAGUUAGGAUAUUUAUAAA
rnacentral:lncRNA from 1 species